GUUAGAGUGGUGAGGCACUGGAACAGGUUGCCCAGAGAAGCUGUGGAUGUCCCCUCCCUGGAAGUGUUCAAGGCCAGGUUGGAUGGGGCUUUGGGCAACGUAGUCUAGUGGAGGGUGUCCCUGCCCGCAGCAGGGGGGUUGGAACUAGAUGAUCUUUGAGGUCCUUUCCAACCCAAACCAUUCUAUGAUUCUAUGAUUCUAUGAUUCCAGAGGUAAGCAUGCUCAAACUGUAGCUCAAGGGUUUAGAAAGAAAGCUGGUAAUCUAAAGGUGUUAUUUGUUUUGCAAAUGCCUUGGCAAAACCACAAACAAGGGAAAGACAGAAGCCUGUGUGAAGUUGUCCCUGUUAUUUUCUGAAGGAGUUAGAAAAUUCUCAGUAAAACAAAGGAUGCUUGCUCCUGAAACAUGCAAAAAAGUGGAAAUUAGAUGGAGGUUUGUUAAUGACAUCCAUGGUUUUAAGCUAAUAUUUUGCAGCAACUUGAGGUAUUUAUAAAAUCAAUGGAAGUGAUUUUUAUUCUGCAGAAAUUAUUUUUCUUCUAUAACUUAAAAACCUUUCUACUUCUUUAUUAAGGCACAUUUGACUCCCUGUUUGUGGGGAGCAUUAGGGCUAUUGCUGGUUAGCUGUCAGUGACCCUGUACUGCUGUUUUGUAUCGCUUGUGCUGCAGAUGAGACAGUUUUUUGUUGCACUUAUAAUGGUUUUCUUUCCAGUUUUCCUCUUUCACCUCUUUCAUCUACUGCUUCAGUCUAGUAGUAUUAUUGGUCCACUGAGAACUUCCAUAGCAGCUAGUGAUAAGCACUGCUUGUGCCUUCUGCAGCAACACAUUCCUCUGCAUUACAGAAACAGACUACGUUUAAAAUGAAUUCAUCCUGUGGGAAAAAGAAAAUCAGUGAUGGAUGAAAACAAGUAAAGCUUUUUUAAAAUACCUUAGUUUUACUAAGGCUGCUGUCUUUGAUUACUCACCCUAUAUGUAGCCAUCUGGUCUAAAAUCCCUUUAGUCUAUCUGCAGUCAGAUGGUUUGAGGGCAUCUUUUUCAGUUUGCAGGUUUUCCUUUGAAAAGAUCUGUAGUUGGCUGGCAACUGCUGUUCAUUAACUUUAUGGCAGCAUUCUUGAUUUAGUCUCCAAUUCAAGCAAAUACAUAAGAACAGGCUGCUCUUUACAAGUGCAAACUCUCUGAAAUCUGCAGGACUGCAUCCUUGAUGACUCUGGGGUAAGAGGAUGGUGGUAGUGACCUUACAAGUAGACCAAAUAUCCCUGCAGAACAAAAGAAAAUAUGGCACAAGGACUGACUUGAGGUUCCCAUGUAAUCUAGCCACCUAAAUAUGGUGUUGUGUUUGGGCUAAGUGUAACAGCCAGCUGCUGACAGCGGUGUCUGUGCCUGUUAUGCUUCCCACAGUCUUGACGCCGGCUUGUUUAGAGCUUCUUCAAAGACCUCUGCACUGUAGCCCAAUGCAAGGGGUAGAUGUACUCUGAGUAAAUUGUUUAGCUGGAUCAUUGUCUCCAUGCUCUGUACUUGACAAAUUCAAGUGCCUAAUGAUAUUAGAUGACUCAUCAUGUCAUUUAUUUUUGCAAAGUGUCAUUAAUCUCUGCCCCUUCUUCAUACAGUGUGCACAGGUUUCAUUUUGGAGCUAGAAUGAAGCAAGAAAACACAAGUAAAAGGACCAGGUAGAUACUAUCAAUGGAGCAAAUUUUCCACCAGACAUGGAAAUGUGACUUUCAUGUCUGGUUCCACUAUUGUAUUAACAUAAUAAAUUGAGAGGCUGUGAAAACAGUUGUGACAAGAACUUCCUGAAACUGAAUUGUUAAUAGUGAGGAAUUAAUACAUCAAUCAUCUUGAUGCAGAAAUCACAGGAAGAGAUUUUUAUGGUCUUUAUUAUGAAAGUCAUAUUGGUGGGUUGUGUUAAUCUGUUCUGGUCUUAAAAUUUUGAAGUAGUUUAAUAGAAAGUUAGCAAAUGUUCAGGUCUCUUUCCCAAGAAAGCUAAUGAACAGUAAUAACUCUCUUCUUCUAAAGGGGCAAAUUAAUAUGGUCCAAAAGAAGUUUCCCUACAUUUAUAAAUGUGGAGGUUCAUACUAGAAGCUUUCAUGAGACCAGGUUAAAACCAGGACGUCAGAACCAUAUGAAAUUUAACACAAGGAUUGAAUCACAAUACAAGUGAACAGUCUGAACUGUGAAGUAACUCUGUACAAAAUUUUGCUUCAGCUGAGAAAUGCUGAAGGAAUAAUUAAUUGAAUAAAAAAUAGAAAGAAGAAUUAAGCUCAUGGAAUAAUUUAUGUUUAAAUUAAUUUAUCCAGAUCUAGCAGUGACAUGACACAUUUAAUUCAUCACUUAAUUUCCUGGAAUUGUUUAACCUUAUUUGAGUCAACCACGAUUAACUUUAUUUAGUUUAGUGCUGACUAUCGUUACUGCAUCUCUAAUCAUCCAGAGGUUUGGUUAUUUGCGUAUUUUUGCUGCCUCCAAAAUAUUUAGUAGAGUUAACAAUGAAUUACAGAAUUUGGAGGAGGUAAAAUGCAAGGGAAUAAUAAAAAUUCAUGCCUUUCAAUGUUAUUUUUUAAAUUCCCACAAGUAAAAGGAUGAGCUGUCAUUUUAGACACCCAUUCAACCAUCAGGAUGAUAAACUGUGUAAAUAAAAUUCUAAAAGAUAAAUGAUACAAUAAUUCCUGAUUGGGAUGGGAGAACUGCUUUGGCAUAAAUUUAGAAAUAAGUAAAAGUGUUAACUUAUGGGUUCUAGAGCAGUUCUGAAGUUUUCAAGUGUACUUUUAAUAUUUAACUUGGUUUGAGCAGAAAUUCCUGUUUAGUAGUAACAUCUAUGUUGUCUGGAUAUUGUUUUAGUAGCCCCAUAAUCUAGCUGGCUAAGAGUUACGUUCAAACAGAUGUUUUUACUUGCUGGUGCUUGUACAGUGCAAGUUUCUAUUUACUUAGAUUUUUUUUUUUUAAGAGUGGGUCCUUUUAAAACUCGUUUCAGUUCCUCUGAUGCAGACUGUUUUGCCAGCUUCUCUGUCUGCAGUGCAAGGAUUGCAGGGCCCUUAGGAGUUACCGACACCCUGAUGUUUUGUGGGCUUGGCACAGGGAGGAGCAGUGAGGGGUGGUGUGAUACAAAGACUGGCUGAGAAGUUGAUUGGCAAAUGUAUAAAUAAGCAUCAUGAAUCUUUGUGCAGCAGGCAGGAUGUUUGGAAGGAAGACACAUGUUUCGGAUGUCCUCUGAUGGUACUUGUUUUUCUUCUAGGCAAGAUGAACGACAGGGAGAACUUUAAAGGACCUGAUUAAUUGCCAAUCAUAUCUAUGGUAUUAGGCUGAUCUUCAUUUUACAUACACCAUUAUAUAAUCUAUGAUUAGGUGACAAAAAAACCCCACAGUCAUUACUGGGGACUCUUGAGAUGUUCUUCCUCUGUUUGACUGUUUCUUGCAAAUUCUUACUAUACUGUUAAAAUAUUCUGAUUUAGAUUUUUUUUUUUCUCCUAAUGGACUUAAAAGAGAAUGAGUGAAUGAAAAUAACUAUUAUGCCUCAGCCUUUUUUUCUCAAACUAAAAGCGAGUGGAAAUGCAGUAAAUGCAGGGUAGGAAUUUCUCAAAGACAGUCUCAGCUGUAGAAUGCCAUUAGACAUAAAAUACCAGAAAAUACUCAUCUUAAACCAACAACAGAUUUCCUAGGAGUGCAAUGGGCUUUUAAAAUGAAUGGAGAGCUGAAGAGGCAGACUAUUUGAAUCCCACUGGGGGAUACUUCACAUCAUGUAUUAUUCUACUUAUUUCAGUUCAACAACGUGGGACAAUGUAUAUGAAGCAGGAUUUUUCUCCUCCUUUGCAGCCUAGACUGAAAGUUGCAGCCUGGCCAUGGAGGGAAUAAAGGUACCUGCACAACUGCAAGAAGACAAAGGAAAAACCUGUGAUUGAGUGUUCUCUCUUGUUCCAGUCAUCUCAUAUUCAUGCAUUCCCCUCACAUAAGGGAGAAGGGACAUGAGAAGCACUGCCCUCUUUCCUAGUGUCAAACACUGUGGGAAGUCAUUAUGACCAAGCAACUAGCUCAAGAGCACUGAGUUGAACAUUUCAUCCCAUUGCUCCCCUCUAUCCAUCCAGUGCCACCAGGCUAAUUGGCCUGGAAAUUGGGAUCAGGAUUAGGAUUGUAAUAAAGAUAUUUUAGCAAAUAUUAUAACUACAGUCCUCACCCUCCUGCUUUACGUAAUAUAAACACAGAAUAAUUCAUGCAUGAACCAUCACCAUGUAUGAGCCAAUGCAGGGAUAGAAAUAAUUGGGACUUAAGGUUUUAAUACAUUUCAAUUAGUAAUUAGAGAACCUUCAUGACUGGAUGAAAAAAUACAAACUUUGCUGCUGCCUCUACCAGCCUCUUGUGCCACAGCUUACAGGGCAGGCUCACAAGUUAAUUAAAAAAAUAAUGUUGUUUCACACAGACUUGCUGAAUAGUUUUUUUCUCCUCUACGGUUUGUGGUUGAUGUUGCCUCCUUGAUUUGGAAAGUAACUUUUCGGGAUUUACCAACCUCAUAAUUAUUCUCUGAGCACUUAAAUAGCAGAGGGUCUAACACACUGGAAUUGUUUCCAAAAAGGUAAAACCAACAUUGUAUUAGGGAGGAGAUGGAUUGUUUUGAGGGGAAAGAAGAAAAGAGUUAAUUACAUAGCCUCUCUGAGAAAUAACAACUGAAGUGGGAGAUUAAGGCAGCUGGGGCAUUACAGUUUGUGAAGUAGUCAUGGGGUACAGAAAGGAAUGACACAGGGUUGUGUUCCAGCUAAACAGGGUGGCAAGGCCACUGCAGGCACAGCUGUCUGUCAAAGUGACAGCUUCAGAGAGACUUCCAGGACACAAGAGCUGCUAAAAAAGGGUGACCACAGGGGCUCUAGUGAAAAGACAGUUAUGAUUGUAGAACUGGAACCUGACAUCCCUUGCUCCUCUUCUUGGUCAGUAAGCUGACCUUGCUUUUCUCUCAUCCUGAGAAAGGAAACAGCACACUGCCCAUCCACCAGUUUCACAGAUUUGCUGUGGAUGCUCCCGAAGCCCUCACGGAGUCAACUGCAGUUACUUCAAAAGUAGCAUACGCAGAAUAGAGCUGAUAAAAAAGAAAAUGUUCCCAAGAUGUAGCUGCUGCUAUUACCUGAUUUACUUCGAAGAGUUUACCCCCAGCUUGCAGCUUUUGUCUGCAGCCUGGGUUGUGGUGUAUUCCUCUUUGGAACAGGAUGAAGUCUUCCAUUCAAACCACAGAUGAAUGGAUGUCCACAGGAGGACAAACACACUUUAUGAGAUUUUUAAGGUUCUGAAAUUUGUUGCGCUUUGUGACCCAUUUUUAUGAAAUGUGACCAUGUCAAGGUUUCAGAUUUAGAUCUCAGGCUCUGCCUGUCAUUUUCUCUGGGCUUCUGAAGUGCCCAGGGACCCCUUGGCUUCAGAAGCGUUCCCACACAAAGGCCACUGAAGCUAACACAAUUUUACAGAAUGAUUUCGCUUUAGCAGUACAGGACUGUUUUGGCACUGCAAAAGCCUUUCUCAGAAAAGGGUAAAAGUUGAUCAUUUAGUAUAUUUUCCAUUAUAUUUUCAGGUUCAAAGGUAUUUUUAUGAAGCUUCACUGUUUAUUAAAAUCAAAGGAGUGAUUUUUCCUAUUUGUUCCUGCUGAUGCUUUUUUCUUUUUUCAUCAAAUUGUAUUGGGGAAGAAAAAAUUAAAAAAGAAUGAAAAAGGAAGAGGAAGGAAUUGUUUUAUUUGGUUUCAAAGAGGGUUUUUUGUUUGUUUGUUUGUUUGAAAUACAAGUUAAAAUUUUGAGGAGGCUAAAA